rnacentral:rRNA from 1 species
GAUGAACGCUGGCGGCGUGCCUAAUACAUGCAAGUCGAGCGAACGGACGAGAAGCUUGCUUUUCUGAUGUUAGCGGCGGACGGGUGAGUAACACGUGGAUAACCUACCUAUAAGACUGGGAUAACUUCGGGAAACCGGAGCUAAUACCGGAUAAUAUUUUGAACCGCAUGGUUCAAAAGUGAAAGACGGUCUUGCUGUCACUUAUAGAUGGAUCCGCGCUGCAUUAGCUAGUUGGUAAGGUAACGGCUUACCAAGGCAACAAUGCAUAGCCGACCUGAGAGGGUGAUCGGCCACAAUGGAACUGAGACACGGUCGAGACUACUACGAGAGGCAGCAGUAGGGAAUCUUCCGCCAUGGGCGAAAGCCGGACGGAGCAACGCCGCGUGAGUGAUGAAGGUAUCCGGAUCGUAAAACUCUGUUAUUAGGGAAGAACAUAUGUGUAAGUAACUGUGAACAUAUUGACGGUACCUAAUCAGAAAGCCACGGCUAACUACGUG